ACAAAUCACCAGGGGUGCUUUGUUUUGCAAAGCUGAGAAAAACCCUUAUAACCUGCACUGGAUAAUGCCUGCGGAGGGAGAGUGAGCCUUGGCUGUA
rnacentral:ncRNA from 1 species